rnacentral:rRNA from 1 species
CGGAUUGCCUUAGUAACUGCGAGUGAAGCGGCAAAAGCUCAAAUUUGAAAUGAGGCCCGUUGAUUGUCUGAUUAAUCAGCUCUCGACCCCUCAGUUGUAAUUUAGAGGAUUGCCAUGGUGAUAGCGCCCAUACGAAGUUCUUUGGAACAAGACACCAAUGAGGGUGAUAGUCCCGUCAGAUGAAAAAUGGUGCGCUACGGUGUCCGAUAUGGCAUAUCCGACGAGUCGAGUUGUUUGGGAAUGCAGCUCAAAAUGGGUGGUAAAUUUCAUCUAAAGCUAAAUACAGGCUGGAGACCGAUAGCGAACAAGUAGAGUGAUCGAAAGAUGAAAAGCACUUUGAAAAGAGAGUUAAAUAGUACGUGAAAUUGUUGAAAGGGAAGCGCUUGAGACCAGAUUCGGCUGGCGGUGUUCAUCCAUGCAAAUUUCUGCAUGGUGUAUGUGCCGUUGGUUGAGCCAGCAUCGGUUCUAAUGGCGGGAUAAAGGUUCGAGGAAUGUGGCUCCAAAAUUAUGCGGAGUGUUAUAGCCUUGAGUGCAAUGUCGCCUAUUGGAAUCGAGGACCGCGCUUCGGCUAGGAUGUUGGCUAAAAGGUCUUAAGCGGCCCGUCUUGAAACCCGGACCAAGGAGUCUAACAUCUAUGCGAGUGUUUUGGCGUGAAACCAUUGCGCGUAAUGAAAGUGAACGAGGUGGGAACCCCAAGUUGGGGUGCACCAUCGACCGAUCCUGAAGUUUACGGAAGGAUUUGAGUAGAAGCAUAGCUGUUGGGACCCGAAAGAUGGUGAACUAUGCCUGAAUAGGGUGAAGCCAGAGGAAACUCUGGUGGAGGCUCGCAGCGGUUCUGACGUGCAAAUCGAUCG